AUUGAACGCUGGCGGCAGGCCUAACACAUGCAAGUCGAACGGUAACAGGAAGAAGCUUGCUUCUUUGCUGACGAGUGGCGGACGGGUGAGUAAUGUCUGGGAAACUGCCUGAUGGAUGGGGAUAACUACUGGAAACGGUAGCUAAUACCGCAUAACGUCGCAAGACCAAAGAGGGGGACCUUCGGGCCUCUGGCCAUCGGAUGUGCCCAGAUGGGAUUAGCUAGUUGGUGGGGUAACGGCGCACCAAGGCGACGAUCGCUAGCUGGGCUGAGAGGAUGACCAGCCACACUGGAACUGAGACACGGUCCAGACUCCUACGGGAGGCAGCAGUGGGGAAUAUUGCACAAUGGGCGCAAGCCUGAUGCAGCCAUGCCGCGUGUAUGGAGAAGGCCUUCGGGUUGUAAAGUACUUUCAGCGGGGAGGAAGGGAGUAAAGUUAAUACCUUUGCUCAUUGACGUUACCCGCAGAAGAAGCACCGGCUAACUCCGUGCCAGCAGCCGCAGUAA
rnacentral:rRNA from 1 species